AACGAACGCUGGCGGCAUGCCUAACACAUGCAAGUCGAACGAGACCUUCGGGUCUAGUGGCGCACGGGUGCGUAACGCGUGGGAACCUGCCCUUAGGUUCGGAAUAACUCCCCGAAAGGGGUGCUAAUACCGGAUAAUGUCUUCGGACCAAAGAUUUAUCGCCUUUGGAUGGGCCCGCGUUGGAUUAGCUAGUUGGUAGGGUAAAAGCCUACCAAGGCGACGAUCCAUAGCUGGUCUGAGAGGAUGAUCAGCGACCCUGGGACUGGGACACGGCCCAGACUCCGGCAGGAGGCAGCAGUGGGGAAUAUUGGACAAUGGGCGGAAGCCUGAUCCAGGAAUGCCGCGUGAGUGAUGAAGGCCUUAGGGUUGUAAAGCUCUUUUACCCGGGAUGAUAAUGACAGUACCGGGAGAAUAAGCUCCGGCUAACUCCGUG
rnacentral:rRNA from 1 species